UUCUGGUCAGGUCAUGUGGUCACUCCCGACCAUACACAUUAGGGCUUGGAGUUUCUGGUCAGGUGGUCACUCCCGACCAUACACAUUAGGGCUUGGAGUUUCUGGUCAGGUGGUCACUCCCGACCAUACACAUUAGGGCUUGGAGUUUCUGGUCAGGUCAUGUGGUCACUCCCGACCAUACACAUUAGGGCUUGGAGUUUCUGGUCAGGUGGUCACUCCCGACCAUACACAUUAGGGCUUGGAGUUCCUGGUCAUGUGGUCACUCCCGACCAUACACAUUAGGGCUUGGAGUUUCUGGUCAGGUGGUCACUCCCGACCAUACACAUUAGGGCUUGGAGUUUCUGGUCAUGUGGUCACUCCCGACCAUACACAUUAGGGCUUGGAGUUUCUGGUCAUGUGGUCACUCCCGACCAUACACAUUAGGGCUUGGAGUUCCUGGUCAUGUGGUCACUCCCGACCAUACACAUUAGGGCUUGGAGUCCCUGGUCAUGUGGUCACUCCCGACCAUACACAUUAGGGCUUGGAGUUCCUGGUCAGGUGGUCACUCCCGACCAUACAGAUUAUUAGUGAUUCUAUAUGUAUUGCUAAUUUUUUAUGUGAUUCGAUGUCCCAAACAUAUUGCUCACUUAUACGUCUGCUGCAACGAGACAAGAGCAUGAGAAGGUUUUAUUGUUGAUAUAUAAAUAUGAAAUAUAUGUAAUGAAUAUAUAUGAAAUAAAGUGGUGGAAACAUGUUACUUAAAAAAUAAGACUGAGAACGAAUUUUGGCAAAGGAACAGAAGACGAGCAACACCACCGAGCAACAAAUAUUUACAAAAAUAAAUAAAUAUUUACACACACACACACACACACAGUCAAAAGUUAACUGAUCAAAACUAAUUUUCUCAUGCUCUCUUGUCAAGUUGCAGUCGACAUAAAUUUACACACAGUAAACAGUGUAAUGUUUGGACACACCUACUCUACAUUGUAGAAUAAUAGUGAAGAAAUCACAUAUGGAAUCAUGUAGUAACCGAUUUUAUUUGAAAAACAAAUCAAAAUAUAUUUGAUAUAAUUGAGAUUCUUCAAAGUAGCCACCCUUUGCCUUGAUGACAGCUUUGCACACUCUUGGCAUUCAUGAUUCCAUCUGUGUUAUUUCACAGUUUUGAUGCAUUCACUACUAUUCUACAAUGUAGCAAAUAGUGAAAACCAAGAAAAACCCUUGAAUGAGUCGUCCAAACGUUUGACUGUGUACUGUGCCUUCGGAAAGUAUUCAGACCCCUUCGCUUUUUCCCCACAUUGUUAAGUUACAGCCCCGUUCUAAAAUGAAUUAAAUAAAUACGGCAGGGUAGCCUAGUGGUUAGAGUGUAGAGGCGGCAGGGUAGCCUAGUGGUUAGAGUGUAGAGGCGGCAGGGUAGCCUAGUGGUUAGAGUGUAGAGGUGGCAGGGUAGCCUAGUGGUUAGAGUGUAGAGGUGGCAGGGUAGCCUAGUGGUUAGAGUGUAGAGGUGGCAGGUAGCCUAGUGGUUAGAGUGUAGAGGAGGCAGGUAGCCUAGUGGUUAGAGUGUAGAGGAGGCAGGUAGCCUAGUGGUUAGAGUGUAGAGGUGGCAGGGUAGCCUAGUGGUUAGAGUGUAGAGGUGGCAGGUAGCCUAGUGGUUAGAGUGUAGAGGUGGCAGGUAGCCUAGUGGUUAGAGUGUAGUGGCGGCAGGUAGCCUAGUGGUUAGAGUGUAGAGGUGGCAGGGUAGCCUAGUGGUUAGAGUGUAGAGGCGGCAGGUAGCCUAGUGGUUAGAGUGUAGAGGCGGCAGGUAGCCUAGUGGUUAGAGUGUAGAGGCGGCAGGUAGCCUAGUGGUUAGAGUGUAGUGGCGGCAGGUAGCCUAGUGGUUAGAGUGUAGAGGUGGCAGGGUAGCCUAGUGGUUAGAGUGUAGAGGCGGCAGGUAGCCUAGUGGUUAGAGUGUAGAGGCGGCAGGUAGCCUAGUGGUUAGAGUGUAGAGGCCGCAGGUAGCCCAGUGGUUAGAGCGUAGAGGCGGCAGGGUAGCCUAGUGGUUAGAGUGUAGAGGCGGCAGGGUAGCCUAGUGGUUAGAGUGUAGAGGCGGCAGGGUAGCCUAGUGGUUAGAGUGUAGAGGCGGCAGGUAGCCUAGUGGUUAGAGUGUAGAGGCUGCAGGUAGCCUAGUGGAUAGAGUGUAGAGGUGGCAGGGUAGCCUAGUGGGUAGCCUAGUGGUUAGAGUGUAGAGGUGGCAGGUAGCCUAGUGGUUAGAGUGUAGAGGUGGCAGGUAGCCUAGUGGUUAGAGUGUAGAGGCGGCAGGUAGCCUAGUGGUUAGAGUGUAGAGGUGGCAGGUAGCCUAGUGGUUAGAGUGUAGAGGUGGCAGGGUAGCCUAGUGGUUAGAGUGUAGAGGCGGCAGGUAGCCUAGUGGUUAGAGUGUAGAGGCGGCAGGUAGCCUAGUGGUUAGAGUGUAGAGGCGGCAGGUAGCCAAGUGGUUAGAGUGUAGUGGCGGCAGGUAGCCUAGUGGUUAGAGUGUAGAGGCUGCAGGGUAGCCUAGUGGUUAGAGUGUAGAGGCGGCAGGUAGCCUAGUGGUUAGAGUGUAGAGGUGGCAGGUAGCCUAGUGGUUAGAGUGUAGAGGCGGCAGGUAGCCUAGUGGUUAGAGUGUAGAGGCGGCAGGUAGCCUAGUGGUUAGAGUGUAGUGGCGGCAGGUAGCCUAGUGGUUAGAGUGUAGAGGCGGCAGGUAGCCUAGUGGUUAGAGUGUAGAGGCCGGCAGGGUAGCCUAGUGGUUAGAGUGUAGAGGCCGGCAGGGUAGCCUAGUGGUUAGAGUGUAGAGGCGGCAGGUAGCCUAAUGGUUAGAGUGUAGUGGCGGCAGGUAGCCUAGUGGUUAGAGUUGAACUAGUAACCGGAACCGAAAAUACUUAAUCCAUUUUGAAAUAAGGCUGUAACGUAACAAAAUGUCAAGGGGUC